AUUGAACGCUGGCGGCAGGCUUAACACAUGCAAGUCGAGCGAGCGGCGGACGGGUGAGUAAUGUCUGGGAAACUGCGUGAUGGAGGGGGCUAACUACUGGAAAAGGUAGCUAAUACCGCAUAACAUCAGAUGUGCCCAGAUGGGUUUAGCUAGUAGGUGGGGUAAUGGCUCACCUAGGCGACGAUCCCUAGCUGGUCUGCGAGGAUGACCAGCCACACUGGAACUGAGACACGGUCCAGACUCCUACGGGAGGCAGCAGUGGGGAAUAUUGCACAAUGGGCGCAAGCCUGAUGCAGCCAUGCCGCGUGUGUGAAGAAGUCCUUCGGGUUGUAAAGCACUUUCAGCGAGGAGGCGUUACUCGCAGAAGAAGCACCGGCUAACUCCGUGCCAGCCGCCGCGGUAAUUC
rnacentral:rRNA from 1 species